UAGAGCUGGCUGUUGCUCUGGUGGGCAGAGCUAAGUAAAACUUUAAUCCGCUUGUCUGCUGAUGGGUGGGGCUGGGUUCCCUCCCUGUUAGUUGUUUGGCCUGAGGCGACCCAACACUGGAGCCUACCCGGGCUCUUUGGUGGGGCUAAGGGCAGACUCUCGGAGGGCUGACGCCAAGGAGUGCUUCCCAGAACGUCUGCUGCCAGUGUUCUUGUCCUCACAGUGAGACACAGCCACCCUCCGCCUCUGCAGAAGACGCUCCAACACUAGCUGCAACGGACAUUUCCAGUUGUUCUCCAUUCUCGUCAACACUUGGUAUGGUCAGUCAUUUUAAUUUUAGACAUCUAACAGGUAUCUGUGCUGGCUCCUUCUGAAAAGAUGAUACAUUUGCCAAAGACCAAUCAUUCUUCUCUGACUUCUCCUCUGGUGAAAACGUUAUUACGUUGAUAUGUAAAAAACAAGGCACUUUCUCUGUUGAGGGGUAAAAACAAGAAAGGUGAUAC